UUUUCAGUAUAGGUAUGUUCCAUGCAACAUUUGGGAUAUACUUAUACUAAAA
rnacentral:pre_miRNA from 1 species